rnacentral:lncRNA from 1 species
CACAAACAGCAUUUGUAAAGGUCAUUGGCAGCUGGUUUCAAGGCCCAACUCGGGCAAGACUUUGCACCUCCAUGUUCAUUUGUACCAAAUUAGCAAAAUGCAAAUAUUCCCAUUAAAACUAAACCAACUUAGCACAUGGAUUAAUAAUGCUAAACAGAAGUAUAAGAGCAUAUUUUCUGCUCAUUUGAACCCUAGAAAAACACAGCAGCCAUAACAAAAAACCUCAUUCUCAUCUUCUUGCAUUUUGG